GGGAUAACUCGGGAAACUGAGAAUAAUACCCCAUAGUUCACCACGCCUGGAACGGUGGGUGGACCAAAGCUCCGGCGGCAUAGGAUGGGCCUGCGGCGUAUCAGGUUGUAGGGGGUGUAAUGUACCCUCUAGCCCUCUACGCGUACGGGUGUUGAGAGACAUCGCCCGGAGAUGGAUUCUGAGACACGAAUCCAGACCCUACGGGGUGCAGCAGGCGCGAAAACUUGGCAAUGCGAGAAAUCGUGACCAGGGAACUCCAAGUGCAUCGGGUAAGACCGAUGCUUUUCUUGACUCUUCAAAGGUCUUGGAAUAAGGGGUGGGUAAGGACGGUGCCAGCCGCCGCGGUAAUACCGGCGCCCCAAGUGGUAGUCGCUUUUAUUGGGCCUAAAACGUCCGUAGCCGGUCUGGUACAUUCGUGGGUAAAUCAACCAGCUCAACUGGUUGAAUUCUGCGAGCACGGCCAGACUUGGGACCGGGAGAGGUGUGGGGUACUCUCAGGGUAGGGGUAAAAUCCUGUCAUCCUGAGAGGACCACCUGUUGCGAAGGCGCCACACUAGAACGGAUCCGACGGUCAGGGACGAAGCCUAGGGGCACGAACCGGAUUAGAUACCCGGGUAGUCCUAGGUGUAAACGCUGUGGACUUGAUGUUGGGGGCGCUCCGAGCGCACUCAGUGUCGAAGCGAAGGUGAUAAGUCCACUGCCUGGGGAGUACGGUCGCAAGGCUGAAACUUAAAGGAAUUGGCGGGGGAGCACCGCAACCUGAGGAUUGUGCGGUUUAAUUGGAUCAACGCCGGG
rnacentral:rRNA from 1 species